UGGAUAGUAUUAUUUAUGAAAUUUAACGGAUUUGGCGGCAAGAUAGCCACUUAGAGGAACCUGCCCUGUAAACGAUGAGCCACGAUUAACCUUACUUUUAUUAGGAUUCAGUUUGUAUACCGCUGUUGUCAGUUAGUUUCUUUAGAAAACUUUCGUACAUGAAAAAUUCAAGGACUUCAAGUAAAGGUGCAGCUUAUAUAAAAGAUAGAGGUGGGUUACAAUUAAGAGAAUAAUAUGGAUAAAGUAAAGAAAAGACUUUUGAAGGUGGAUUUAAUAGUAAAGUUUAAUAAGACUUGAUUAGAGCUCUAUCUUGUGUACACACCGCCCGUCGCUCGCGGGA
rnacentral:rRNA from 1 species